GAAAGGGACAUCAUGCGCAGUAGAGGGGACUCGAAGAGGAAGGCCCUUAAGGAGAUGGGUUGACAGAGGCUACAAUGGGCACAAACGGCCUGCAGACAAUGGAGAGGAUGGUGCAGGACCGGGCAGUGCUCCCUUCUGUCAUGCAUAGGGUCGCUAUGGGUUGGAAUCGACUUGAUGGCACAACAAGAAGUUUUGAUAGCUUCACUACAUUCAUGGAGACAUUUGCAGCAAAGACCAUCAGGAAGAGGAAAUAGACUCGGUCACUUGGUGGGGGUGAUGAAGACUGGCCAGAAGAGCCACAUCCAGUAAAUCACUGCACCAGGACUUCUGGUACAGCAAGAAGCUUGGAUCUCAAAAGCAAAAGAUGUGCAUACUGUCUGAUUGCUUCAGGGAUAAAAUAGAGGAACAAACAGAACCAAUCCAUGGUGAUGGUGAUUGCUUGAGGGUGGGAGGGGAAUUUGAAAGAGAGCCAAAGACGCUUCUGGGGGUGAUGAAAAUGUACAAAAAUGAUCCAUUGGGUGAUGACUCUGAGGAUAUACAAUUGUUAAAACUUACUGAGCAGAUUACCAUCUGUACAUGUUAUUGUACAUAUGACCUUAAUAAAAAUGCCUCCAAGACUUUUAUUGAA